GACGGUAUCACUGUUGACCUCACUCCACCAUCUGAAAGCUCGAUCACCAUCCAAGGGCUAAUAGAAAACGUAUAUCAAAUCAGCACAUCUGAGGUGGUUCUUGACUGGUCUGGUUUUGUUGAUGUGGAGACGGAAGGAUUGACUUCACAUGCGAGCGCCAUCACCUUCUAUCAAGUUGCCUUAGGGACUAUGCCAGAAGGGGAAGACAUCAUAGCGUUCUCAAGCGUUGGACACGUCCACCACACCACGCUGUCAGGUCUUCAAC